UGCAUGAAGGAAACCUCAUCCUAAGUAACACCUAAGGAAUUUGAUUAAAAAUUGGAUUGAACAUAAGAACAGUGAGUGAGCUGUAACUCUUGUAAUGCUGUAGUACCAAGGGGGUGCUACCAAAUAAGGAAAUGUGCACAUACUUUCUCCUUUUCUAUCUCCAUUAAGCAUGUUUUCUUAAUCCUGAAGUCAGUUCCUGGGUAUGUCUUUGUAAAUAACUCAGCCUGUGUGUAUGCAUAUGUAUCUCCUUCACAAGUGAGAUUUCAUUUUGUUGAUCCCACACUAAUUAAUCAUGAGGAAAUAUUUGAAGGAGAUCUUUCUGGCUAGCUUUACUAAAUGCUUUUCAAGUGUAGAGACAGCAUGGAGAAGACUUUGCAGACAAUCACACUCAACAAAACAGACUAGCAGAUAACUCCUGAAAGGCUGUGGAGCAAACUUGAGGGAAGGUAUUUGAAAUGACUUAUGUAAUGUUUUCUGCACACAAACGCUGGGUCUGAAAUGACUUCAGAGAUUUGCUGUGUAAGUAUUCAAACCUAAUCGAUUACAGAGGUAGGGAGAGAGAGAUUGGGGCUUCAAUUAAUGUCAAUUUAAAAAUCAGAUAUUUGCUUUAAAUUUAGCAGUACUUUCAGUUACACUGAAGUUUAAUAUUACUACUAAUACAUUUAAGAGUGUGAGAUAACAGUUAAUUUACUUGCAUAUUACUAUUAACACAGUGUUUUGUUUCUAUAAACCUAAUUGAUGCGGUGUGCUUCAUGUGAUCAUUAUUUUCUAUAAAAUCUAAACAAAUACACAAUAGGUUUUAGAAAACAAUUCUCUUGAAUUAUUUUUCAGUAUUCUUUUAGGGAUAUGCAGGACAAACUUUAACGUGUUCCUAAUUUUAUUGCUGUUUGCUUGUCAUUAAAAUAUAUAUGUUCAAUUCAUUCAGUGUCUUAUGUAAGUUUCCUGAAUAAAAACUAUUUUCUUAAGUAAUAUAAAAUUGUAUUUAUAUAUUUUUUCACAUAAUUAUGUGAAAAAAAUUAGAAUAUUUGACUAUUUUUAAAUCAUCAUGUGGAAUUCUUUUCAUGGGUUACUCAGUUGACCAUAACCAUAGUCACUGCAUAAAUUGGGAGUUAUCACUAUCAAAGGUAUAUGCUAAAGUUAAUAUUGGAAUAAUGCAACAGUCUAAAAAAUCUCAUCAUAUAUCCACACCUGAAUAACGUAUGUUACUUAUAAAACCAUGUCUGAACAGAAAGCCUUUACUAAGAUUUCUCCAUCCAAGACCUAUUGGAUACUGCUAAUGUCAUGUAAUUCUUGCACUGCUAAAACUCAACAAUCUCACUUUAUCAUUUAUUGCAAUGCAUAGUUGUUAUGUUUGUAUUCUCCACUCACAUCAGUACCCACCUUAAAGAUUUAAAUAUUUACCCUGUACAACAUCAGGCUUCCAAAGCCCAGAUAUGUAAGAAAUUCACAAGGUGUUUGAUGCUUCAAAACUGUUCAAAAUGAAAGAGAGAUUAUUAUACUUAACAGGUGGAAGUAGUUCAAACACACCUUUUCUCUUUGAUAUCUGUUUAUUAUUUUUCACUAUAAUCUCUUAGAAGCAAGGAUUUUAAGGUUUCCUGCACCCUUCUAUUAAUUCUCUAAUUCAUUUAUAUAUGUACUUCUGACUCUGGAAAGAAGCACUAAAAUAUUUUAUAAUAUGUAACCUUCUGCCAUAACCAAGCGGCUAUUGCUUUCAGUGGCCUGUGGAAACGUAAGUUGGCAAAUAAGUAAAUGGCAUAAGAUGUGAUAUUGGAUUCCUCUUCUACUAUGUUUGUUAUUAUUGUAUGCCCAGAAGUCUGUUGACACUUUGCUUUCUCAUUAAUUUGCUGUACAUUGCUACCAGUGAUGUUAGUCCAUAACUGUUACUUAUCUUACUGUCUGCAGAAACAAAACCGUACAAGUUUCUUUCUCCAUUCAGUCAAGAUAUCACUAAUUCCACUAUUUUGAACGAAUUGUACUGAAUUCUUAGCAAUGACUGAAUUUUUCAGGACAUAUCACCUCAUUGUUUCUUGAUCAGACUUAGCAGAACCUGUAUGCUGUUUUGUUUUCUGCAUAGGAAUCAUUCAAUACUUCCACACUGGAUGAGGUAGCCUGGGUAUUGCAAAGGAAUAUUCAAUCCUCAUUCAUAAAGACACAAAAAUUUCAGUCUUGUUUAAAGAGCAGUUUGGACAUACUCUGAAAGAAACCACAUGCAAAACUCUUUGGCUGGACAAAAAUGAGGAUACUUAGUAAAUUUCCUUCAGAGGAAAGAGUGUACUCGUGCAAUAUUCAAUAGUUGACAUUCAAAGAGAGCACAUAACUUGGCCACUUUCUGCAGUUCAAUCCCCUUAUACGCAUCCUCAGUGUACAGAAUGGUUUUAUGAAUAUUGUCAGUUGAUACAACUCUGCCCAGCCUUAAAAGGGUUAAGGGCUCAUUUGUGAGAGCUUUACCCCUUCAUAAACCUUCCAGUACUGGCUGCUUCCACCUUCUCCAAUGACCCCAGUUUCUGAAGUUCACUGUGUAAAGAACUUCAUUUCACCAGCUUUAAAUAAAACCUCAACUGAUUUCAAGUUCCCAGGGGCCUAAUAUUGUGGUAUUUUGUGAACAAAUUCUGUGUAUUCAGUUUAUGACUUAUCUACCUUCUGUCAUAUUCUCCCACAGCCUUCUCUGCUUCUAAAUUAAGUCUCCCAGCUUUUUAGUGUGUCUACAGAAGGCAUCUGCUCUAUCACUUCAAAUAUUUUACUUGUUUUUCUCCACACUUCUUUCAACUCUGCUACACCCUUCCUUAGAUAUCUAGACCAAACUACACAUGAGACUCAGGGUAUGGGUACACCAGUUAUGUACUCUGUACUCUCCAUUCGGGUGUUCUUUGUUUCUAAGAAUAAUCUCACUAACUUUUCUAAACAUGUCCAAAAUUUUGGUGGCUUAUUGUCCACCACUUGACACUGAGUCAAGUCUAGUCUGUCUAAUAUGCCUGACUGAAGCAAUACUUUUGAUGUAGUUACUUCAAACUGACCUACAUAUUCUAGUCUAUCUACUACAGAAGUGCAUCAGGUGUUGGAGUCUCAGUGCUAAAUGCCAAUGGAAAGAUUUCGCUGAGCUUCUCUGCUAUGUAUUUAUCAUCCCUUCAUGCCCCUCCUACAUAUUUGCUAUGAAGCAGCAAAGUAUGAGAUGAUCUGAAACACAAAUAUUCUAGAGUACAUCCAUAGAUAGCUGUUCGGUACCAUUUUCACAAACUGCAUAACCUGUGAGUGUUUAAAUACAUUUACAUCCUUCAGAAAAGCAUGAGGUACCAGUUGAGUUCACAAAGUGCAAAACAUGUAGAGUUCAAUUAUAGUGAAGCUUUACUCAGGAGAAUCAAAUGGCAAAUGUGUAAUGGAAUACUGUCAUACCACUUCAACUAAGUCUGCAGCAGCUUCUUUCCCUUCUUAAGGACUUUAGAAAUACUAGGUCCUUAUUUUUUUUUAAAGUAGGCUUUCAAAAGGAUAGAGCCAUAAUGACACUGAAGUUUCUGUGUGCCUAUAUGUAUGCUGCUCCUAUGAAGAAAAAUAUUUCAAUUUUUUGUAGUGUACACAGGCUUUCAGAAAAAGAAUGAGAUGCACAGAAAUGUAAAUCAAAAGCUCUCUCUGUCCAAAGAAGAGAGAGAUUAUCAAUUGCUUUUUGUAAUUAAAAUGAUUAGGGAAAAUCUGCUAUUUUACUAGAACUACUUAAGCUAUGAAAAGAUUUAGCUCUUACACAAGGCAUUAUAUUUUAAAACAUUUACAAACACAAAGCAAUAGCAAAACUGAAUGAUAUCUAACCCUGUACAGAGAAUCAUAUAAGCUUAUAUGCCUCCUAGUCUCUAUGUUAGCCUAUAUCUCAAAAACAUAAGAGUGUUCGGACAGUUGAAAGUGAGCAUCACAAGUUCUUUACCUCAAAGAAUGCCUAAAUUAGAAUUUGAGAUCCCUACCUCCCACAAUUGUGCUCCGUUUGUAACAACCUUUUAUAAGCUUGGCUCAGAAAACUGUAGAUCUGUGUCAUUUCAUUCAGGAAAGAGAAAAAGGUUUCUCUAUGGGAAUGAGUAUUUCUUUGUAUAUAAAAAAAAGCUACUACCAAUUUAUGUAUCAUGAAGGGCAAAUCAGUCAUUAGACAUUAAGGCAGCUACUUUUUUUUAAAGAGAAAUGCCAAUUAAAUGCCUACCUGAUGCAUACGUCCAGAAAGAAAGAUUCGUGAUUUCAUGACACCCAGUGAGACUAGUAUCAAUACCUAGAAUCUUGCCAUAGAAAGGAAACAGAACUCUAGUUUCAGACAUCAAAAUUUGUUUCUGCAGAAAUAUUGUGAUAUAACUUCAACUACAGCAGAAUGUAUAAACAAAUGCUUAUAAGUAAACAAUUACAUUUCUCUAAACAUCUAUGACAGUACUUCUAGUAAUAUCAACAUUUCCAGCCAUUGGUCUUUCUGAUGUGAGCAGUUCUAGCAGAUUCAGAUAAUGUCUGAGGAAGAACAAUCAUGCUUCUUUUUCACAAGGAAUAAAGUUCCACCUUUCCUAAUAAUUUUAAGAAGUUUAUUCUUAAAAGUUAUGCAAUGAUUUUUAAUUAGUACACUAAUAUUUCUUAAUGGUAAAGCACUAUAAGAAAUGUUGGCCAUCAUCGCUCUUUAAAUGAGAAGACAGAAAUCACACCACUUUUAUAACAGUUCGUUAAUUCACAUCUGCACAAAUAACUGGUUGGGAAGGAAUACUGAAGUAGUAUUUUGUACCGCUCUAUUAAACUCUUUUCUCAAAACUCAGGUUAAUUCUUUGCCGGAGCAGAGAAAGUCUGUUUUUUCUGAACCAUUAAUUAAGCUUUGUGCAGCAAGUGAAACCCCAAAAUCAUGUACUAAAUACACUUCUCACUCCGAGGUGUAAUUUCUUCAUUAAAAAAAUAAUAAUAUUAAAAGAACUCUAAAUAACAUCCAAAAUAUUGACAGAGAGCCUGAAAAAAUAUAUUAAAUGCUAAAUAUACUAAUGAUUCCUUCACAGUUUUCACAUUGUUAUAUGUAUUUCCAUGUGAGAUUUCAACAUAACACUUUCACAUUUAGUAUUUGGCAAACAUAUCACUGCAUUCUCCAUUGAAAUCUAUUCAAAGUCAAUUUUACAUUCUUCAUAGUCCACCUCAAGUUUUUAAAGAUUUGGGAAAACUGCAGCAACUGUUCUUUUAGAAUCACAGAAUCAUAGAAUCACCAAAGUUGGAAAAGACCUCCAAGAUCAUCAAGUCCAACCAUCCACCUACCACCAAUAUUUCCCCACUAAACCAUGCCCCAGCAUCUAAACAUUUCUUGAACAUCUCUGGAGACGGUGUCUCAAUCACCUCCCUGGGCAGCCCAUUCUAGUACCUGACCACACUUUCAGAGAAUAAAUUUUUCCUAUUAUCCAACCUGUAUCUCCCCUGGUGCAACUUGAGGCCAUUCCCUCUCAGCCUAUCAGUAGUUAUGCAGCAGAAGAGGCCAAUACUCACCUUGUCACGACCUCCCUUCAGGUAGAUGUAGAGAGCGAUAAGGUCUCUCCUGAACCUCCUCUUCUCCAGACUAUACAACCCCAGUUCCCUCAGCUGCUCUCCAUAAGAUUUGUGCUCCAGAUUCCUUAGGCCUCAAUGUCUUUCUUGUAGUUAGGGGCCCAAAACUGAAUGCAGUACUCAAGGUGCAAGAAGUUUAGAAUUAGAGGCACAGAAGAGCUAGAUAUGAUCUCUGCAAACAACAAAAACUUCAGAUCUUUGCCCCUAGCAGUUGUUCAAUAUACACAUCACAUCCUAGCAGAUUACAGGUUAAUUUUCAGCCAGAUAUGAAUAUAAUUGCCUUUAUUCAAAAUGGUACAGACAUAGUUUCAACAUAUAAAAUAUCCAUUCCUAGAGUUCUGUAAGACUGUCACUCUGCAUGUCAUUUUUCCCUGUUAGUCUUUCUAAAUUAAAAAAGACCAUAAGCUUAAGCUCACCAUAUCUAAGACCAAACGACAGCUUGAAGUUAAUUUGUAGGUCUGUUAAGCUCUGUAACCUCUGGUUGUAGUGAAUGUUUCUCCCUUGAUCUGACAUCUGAGUCCAUGAAAUAUACUGAGAAAAGUUUCCCUAGCAAAGUUGAACAUGCAAAUAUGGGAAGCAGUUGUUGAAGAAAUUAUUAUAUACAUGACUCAGCACCAUUUGUCCAGACUUCUUUGACUUCAACUCCAACAUGUGAACUAGUCCCAUCUCAAACUCUUGCCAUUUGAUUUUUCAGAUCGUUAUAAUUAUAAUCUGAGGAAUUUGUCAAUAUUCUGUUUAUGAAUUGCAGCAGUAAGACGUGUAGUUCCAUGUAGGUUGCUCCCAAAGCAAUGCCUCUGAUUUAUUUCCAUGGAAAAC
ensembl:lncRNA